AACAUCAGUGGCAAUAUCGUGGCCAGUGAGGCCAAGCCAAGGUGCAUUUAUUGCUAGUUGAAAACUUUUCCCAAACUUCUUCUGGAUCGAAGGAUUGGAUAUAGAGAAUUUUCCAUAAAACAGUUG
rnacentral:snRNA from 1 species